UUCUCCCUCCAUCUCGCCGCCGCCGCCGCCGCCGUCGCCGUCGCCGUCGCCGCCGCCGUCGCCGUCGCCGUCGCCGGCGGUCAAUUCAUCUGCAGGUCACUUCACACCUUCUCCACCUCCACCGGUUUCCCGUCAUUUUAUUGCUCCGACAUGCCUCUUCGCGCCCAUCCAUGCGAUUCUCCGGCCUCCGCGAUACACGAUAUGUCUUCCGCCGCUCCGGUUCCCGUGCCCCCACUUCCUCAGGCCACGAUUCCUCGCCUCCAGCGAGCUCUCCAGUCUCCUAUCGCCUUCGCACUACCCCUUUGCGGCCGCGAGGCCGGCCGGGAGGUGCUCGGACCACUCGUCGCCGCCGAGCCUCGGGCUCAGCUUCUCGCGCCGCUGCCAGACCGUGCUCCUCCUUGCUUGAUUGCGAGGCCGUGACGCGCUGAUCAGCUGCGUGGCCGCCGUUGUCUCGUCCACUGGCGCUCGGGUGCACGGGCGUGGCCCCAGCGUGCGCCCCGGCAACGACUUCGUCAAGCAAGUGAGGUAUACUCUCCUGUUCGGUCUGAACAGCCACUCUGCUGAUAGUUUCUGCUACUCCACUCAAUCUUUUCAUGGUGCCACCUCUAGCGCUUCCGCACUUCCCUGGGGAAUUUCAUUCCAAACUUGUACGUGUGGCGAUGUGGUGGUGGUGAACUAUGGAAGGUAGUCACCCUUGUGUCUUUUGGGAUGUCGAUGGCUUUAUUCUCAUGGGAACCAUUUGAAAGGUGCUUUAUGUUCUACUAUCUACACUGCAGCACCGUGCUCCAUUUAGCUUUCUAACAUAGCGAGCCUCCUCUGCAGGGACUAUGGUCUUUACAAAAGUAAAAAUGUUCAUGGAAAGCUUGCAGAAUUUAUGAAGAAUUCAAAAAAAAAAGAGAGUAGAGUUUCUGAAGAAUUGUUGGCUUCAACACCCAGCUCAAAGGAAUAGACUUCUAUGAGAUAUUAGAGACUCUUCAGAGAAUAGCAGGCCUGCAGGGGAGGUUUGUGUAGAGAUCUAAGGCCAGCUCGCAAAUGGAUUGAAAUUUUAUCUUCUUGUCAGCCAAUGGACAGGUUGACUGAACAAGUGAUCAUGAGAGAAAGAGCAAUGAGGAAAAUAGGAUUCUGGAGGGAGGAGACACUGAAAUGGUGCAGUCACACACUUCAAUCAAUAGGAUGGUUCUGAGGUUCUGAGAAUGAUCAGAAUCAGUUCCUUGGUAUCACAGGCCGUGGCACCAUUGGACUAUGACUUAGACCUGCUGCAGUUGACUAAAGUGGCCAUUUGUAAGCUUGCCCUCCGUGUUCAUCAGCUAUUGUCAUAAUUAUCCUUUUGCCACCGAAGGAGGGCGCAAUGGCGCAUCGACUUGGUCAAAGAAGGGGCAACAGUGCAGAGUUGAAAAAAGGAGGGAAAACUCACAAUGGGCAAAUCAAGAGAGGGCAACCAUACAAAUGCCCCCAUGUGUAAUAUAGGAACAAAAUUGUUCUAAAUUAUCAAUUUUUUCUAGCAGGUUGUAAUCCUUUCAUAGCUGAAUAUAAUAAACCAAAUUCUGGGCAUGCUAUGAUUCUUCCGGAGUCCAUUUGGUUUUGACCAUCUUUUUAACUUUUUGAGGAAUGUUUGGAUCAUCUUCCUACGUGCUAUCUACAAAUUCGAGCUCCCUGCAAUCUUUCUGGGCAUGCUAUUAGUUGUACUGUUUGUAAUAC
rnacentral:lncRNA from 1 species